rnacentral:rRNA from 1 species
AGAGUUUGAUCCUGGCUCAGGACGAACGCUGGCGGCGUGCUUAACACAUGCAAGUCGAACGGUAAGGCUCCUUCGGGAGUACACGAGUGGCGAACGGGUGAGUAACACGUGAGCAAUCUACCCUUGACUCUGGGAUAACAGUUGGAAACAACUGCUAAUACCGGAUACGACCUCGGCGGGCAUCCGACGGGGUGGAAAGUUCCGGCGGUCAGGGAUGAGCUCGCGGCCUAUCAGCUUGUUGGUGAGGUAACGGCUCACCAAGGCGUCGACGGGUAGCCGGCCUGAGAGGGCGACCGGCCACACUGGGACUGAGAUACGGCCCAGACUCCUACGGGAGGCAGCAGUGGGGAAUAUUGCGCAAUGGGCGAAAGCCUGACGCAGCAACGCCGCGUGCGGGACGACGGCCUUCGGGUUGUAAACCGCUUUCACCCAUGACGAAGUGAAAAUGACGGUAGUGGGGGAAGAAGCACCGGCCAACUACGUGCCAGCAGCCGCGGUGAUACGUAGGGUGCGAGCGUUGUCCGGAAUUAUUGGGCGUAAAGAGCUUGUAGGCGGUCUGUUGCGUCGAAAGUGAAAACUCAGGGCUCAACCCUGAGCCUGCUUUCGAUACGGGCAGACUAGAGGAAGGUAGGGGAGAACGGAAUUCUUGGUGGAGCGGUGGAAUGCGCAGAUAUCAGGAAGAACACCGGUGGCGAAGGCGGUUCUCUGGACCUUUCCUGACGCUGAGAAGCGAAAGCGUGGGUAGCAAACAGGCUUAGAUACCCUGGUAGUCCACGCCGUAAACGGUGGGUACUAGGUGUGGGGAGCAUUCCACGUUCUCCGUGCCGUAGCUAACGCAUUAAGUACCCCGCCUGGGGAGUACGGCCGCAAGGCUAAAACUCAAAGGAAUUGACGGGGCCCCGCACAAGCGGCGGAGCAUGCGGAUUAAUUCGAUGCAACGCGAAGAACCUUACCUGGGUUUGACAUACACCGGAAACACCUAGAGAUAGGUGCCCCCUUGUGGUCGGUGUACAGGUGGUGCAUGGCUGUCGUCAGCUCGUGUCGUGAGAUGUUGGGUUAAGUCCCGCAACG